rnacentral:rRNA from 1 species
GAUCACGGGCUCAGGAUGAACGCUAGCGGCAGGCCUAACACAUGCAAGUCGAGGGGGUAUUAGGAGCUUGCUCCUAAGAGACCGGCGCACGGGUGCGUAACGCGUAUGCAAUCUACCUUGUACAGGGGAAUAGCCCAGAGAAAUUUGGAUUAAUGCCCCAUAGUAUAAUUGAAUCGCAUGGUUUAAUUAUUAAAGUUCCAACGGUACAAGAUGAGCAUGCGUCCCAUCAGUUAGUUGGUAAGGUAACGGCUUACCAAGACAAUGAUGGGUAGGGGUCCUGAGAGGGAGAUCCCCCACACUGGUACUGAGACACGGACCAGACUCCUACGGGAGGCAGCAGUGAGGAAUAUUGGUCAAUGGGCGCAAGCCUGAACCAGCCAUGCCGCGUGCAGGAAGACGGUCCUAUGGAUUGUAAACUGCUUUUAUACAGGAAGAAACAACUCUACGUGUAGAGUCUUGACGGUACUGUAGGAAUAAGGAUCGGCUAACUCCGUG